GUGUCAGCAGCCGCGGUAAUACGAAGGUCCCAAGCGUUAUCCGGAUUUAUUGGGUUUAAAGGGUGCGUAGGCGGAUUAUUAAGUCAGUGGUGAAAGCCUUCAGCUUAACUGAAGAACUGCCAUUGAUACUGAUGAUCUUGAGUAUGAUUGAGGCGGGCGGAAUGUGUCAUGUAGCGGUGAAAUGCUUAGAUAUGACACAGAACACCGAUUGCGAAGGCAGCUCGCUAAGCCAUAACUGACGCUGAUGCACGAAAGCGUGGGGAGCAAACAGGAUUAGAUACCCUGGUAGUCC
rnacentral:rRNA from 1 species